AGCCCUAUGCCCUAGUCUCUGA
rnacentral:miRNA from 1 species